CGUUGAAAAAAAGAAACCAACCUUAAAACCAACAAAGAAAAAGAAGAAGGAUUUAUCAACUUUUAAGCCGUCUUCAUCUUAAGAUUUCAAUAUUUAAAUUGAUGAAUUGGUUUAUUUACCUCCCAAGUAG
rnacentral:ribozyme from 1 species